UACGUAGGGGGCAAGCGUUGUCCGGAUUUAUUGGGCGUAAAGAGCGUGUAGGCGGUUUGGUAGGUCCGCUGUGAAAACUCGAGGCUCAACCUCGAGACGCCGGUGGAAACCAUCAGGCUAGAGUCCGGAAGAGGAGAGUGGAAUUCCUGGUGUAGCGGUGAAAUGCGCAGAUAUCAGGAAGAACACCCGUGGCUAAGGCGGCUCUCUAGUACGGUACUGACGCUGAGACGCGAAGGCCAGGGGAGCAAACGGG
rnacentral:rRNA from 1 species